ACGGGCUAUAUUGUUAAGUUUUUUUCAAGGUACUACUGGUUGAAUUGCACGGAUGAGUGAGUAAAAUCGUCGUUAAGUUGUUAAUUUUUCACUGCAAGCAGCCCUCGUUGGACACGGCGGGCAUCGGGCAAAUAACGGUUGGUUCAUAAUAAUAAGGGUCGAAUCACUUCACUUAUUGCUUAUUCAAGGAGUUGGAUAGAGGAAUGAGAUGUACCGUACUGGAGCGUACUUGUCUUUUCUUCAGGGAUAUCUGCCCUCGCCCACGUGUGUCACCUGUGUCAUCAUCAUGUGUCACCACCGACCCGCGUAUUAAAACCCGUGCGCGCCACACGAGCUCUCAUUCGGCGAGAGCGCUGCGUGUGCUUUCUCGGAAUAAGUAAUCCAAAGAAAAGAUUUUUUUUUUUUUUUUAAAUCAUGGCAGCUGCUUAUUUUGGAGUGAUUUUACUCGCCUUGUGUUUUUCGACCCAGGUCAGCCCUCAGAAUGUGUCGGAAUCGACUACAACAGCAAACCAUACCCGUGCGGGGACAGGUGUCAAUGCAACGACAGUCCCGACCAACACUUACAGUGGCGGCGGGGCCAACCAAACCACACCCAGCGGUGGGGGCAAUGCCCUGCGCUCCUUCAACCCCACCUGCCUGCUCCCCGUUGUCGUGGCAGCCUCCUUCCUGCGCUGUUGAAGCACCCCUUCCCCCAAGCCGACACUGAACAGAGGCAAGACUGCAACAUCCCACGGCCUAGAAAGGAAAGGUCUCACCCCAAGGAUGUACAUUUUCCUUUUUUAACAGAGCGGAAGGGGUGCUACAGCAAUGGAGAGUGUCAUCCAACCAGAGAAGACAAGAGUGUAGCGUAGAUUUGCAUUGUUACAUUGCAGCGUCAGCUGCUGUCCAGCUUGUCUUGCAGUCCACAGUUUGGACAGUAUGAGGUUGUACAAAUGCUUGUUUAAUGUCCCAAGCAAGUCCACUAAUGUUCCUUUUUGGUCUGAUAUGAUUUCUAAAUACUGGGUAAAUUAGUUGGAAGGGCCACACUGUUAACAUUGAACAUGUUUAAUGGAUUAGACCUGAACCAGACUUGAGUAAGUGGGGCAUGACUGUCUUCAUUGACAUGACUUUGACUUUUGUCAAGAAUUUUUAGCGUAGUAUAAAUGAUGUUGUAAGCAGUGAGUGUUGCACUUUUGUUUGGCCACUUGUGGCCUUUUAAAAGAACUUUGUAAUUUUCUUUCUGCACUAGAAAUAAUCCCACAGGUCAGGCAGUAUACUCAAAGUAAAUGUUAUCUUGCCCAUGGCUAUGUUCUGUAAUAACAGUGUUUUAAUGUUAGUUAACAGAAGUGCAGGAAGAAACUUCAUUAAAAUUUAAAUUAUGACCUUCAGUGCUGGCUCUGAUUUAUGGACAACA
rnacentral:lncRNA from 1 species